CAAGAAAAAUAUUUAUGAUAUAUUGAUUAUAUAUUAUUAUAUUGCUCUAUUUUACUGUAACUUAGAUGGUUGAAGAUGUUCUAAAGAACAAACCAGGAGGAGAGAGGAUCAUCAAUGAGUAUGCCCGGACAAAAAGCCUAACGGAUAGCAGGCGGCGUGACAUGGUCAAGAUAUUAGUUGCACAUAUGACAAGUGAACAUGGGACAAGUCCUUCAAGACGUGUCAAAGAGAAAUAUGCAAAGGGUAUCAUCACGCUGUUCCCAUACCUGGCUGAUCCUAGGAGCAGGCUGGGCUAUGAGCAUUUUUACAAUGCAGAAGAUGGGAGUGGUUACCUGGCUUGGAGAUUGAAGUUUAUCCAAAAGGAAGCUUCUAAUGGACAAAACAAGACUCCCAGAAUGUCAAAAACGCAAAUGGGGGGCCCAACAUCUGAUAGAGACUGUUUCAGAGAAGACAACUGCCUAAUGACAGACAGCUUGUGUUCUGAGGCUAUUGCACUGAUGAAACAUACAGCUGAUGAAGGAAUUGUUAUGAUGAAGAUGAAGCAGACCUUCAACUAUCGCCAAAAGAUGAUUCAUGAUCCAGUGAAGUCAUCUGAUAUCUUUUUGGACUUCCCAAGAUUCCUGGAUAUAGGAGGAUUAGUAUGUUUAUCUUACCUUCAACUUCCCUCACUGUUACAUUUAUAAGUUGAGGUGCAUCUGAGAAAAAAGUGAGUAUAAAAGUUGUUUGAUACAAGGAGUUUCAAAAACUUAAUUUCAUCUCUUCUGCAGAUUGAACAAGAUUUUACUUAGAUGUUCGAUGAAGCCACCUCUGUGAAGUUCCUGGAGAAGUGGCCCACUAUCUACAAGCAGAAAGUCCUCGAACAAAGCCGUGGUCUCACGCAAUCAGAUGACCUUCAGUACCUUGUGCAAAAUGCUGAAUGCACAAUAGAAGUGGAAAAUGGUGAGAUAAAAUAAAUGGAAUUUUAUUGUUAUGUUUUAAUUGGAGCAUUUGAAAGUGUAACACCGUCACCUGCUGUCGCUUUUUUUUUUUUCAAAACUUUAUAAUGUAAGUGUUAACAGAGUUGCAGAUAACGUGUUUUGGCAGCUAAUUAUUGUUUCCAAUUUACUUAUGUUUCCAGGAUGGGACAGUGACAUGUCAUCCAUUUUGAUCCUUGUACACCUGUUACCACCAUCACCUCAUGGCCGCAAGAGACCAGGAAAGCUCUCAGCCAGACAAGCCUGUGACCAUCUUGUCAAGUUUGUCAAGACGGGAACUAGCAUCCAGGGGCAUCUCGAUGGCAUCACGGAGAGCCUUCAACCAUACCUUCUUGCAGUGGGCACU
ensembl:lncRNA